rnacentral:rRNA from 1 species
CCUACGGGAGGCAGCAGUAGGGAAUAUUGCUCAAUGGGGGAAACCCUGAAGCAGCAACGCCGCGUGGAGGAUGAAGGUUUUAGGAUUGUAAACUCCUUUUGUGAGAGAAGAUAAUGACGGUAUCCCACGAAUAAGCACCGGCUAACUCCGUGCCAGAAGCCGCGGUAAUACGGAGGGUGCCAGCGUUACUCGGAAUCACUUGGCGUAAAGAGGGCGCAGGCGGGCAGGUAAGUCCGAUGUGAAAUCCUGUAGCUUAACUACAGAAGUGCAUUUGAAACUAGGAGUCUAGAGUGUGGGAGAGGUAGGUGGAAUUCUUGGUGUAGGGGUAAAAUCCGUAGAUAUCAAGAGGAAUACUCAGUGCGAAGGCGACCUACUGGAACAUUACUGACGCUCAUGCACGAAAGCGUGGGUAGCAAACAGGAUUAGAUACCCCUGUAGUC